GUGAAUCAUCAAAUUUUUGAACGCAAAUUGCACUCUCUGGUAUUCCGGGGAGUAUGCCUGUUUGAGGGUCGCCUAAAUAAACAUCGAUUCAUUGCUUUUUUUUUUGGAAAAAAAAGUAAAUGUUAUCGGAUCUGAGCCUUCUUUUUUUUUUAUUUUAAAGUGGCUUAAAAUUUAUUUCGGGUAUGAUAAACGUAAUUUACGAUUAAUUCUGAUCAAAAAAGAACGUAUAUGAACAUACCAUCAAUUUAUAUAUGUAAUACGGUUGAACUAUGGUGUAUAUCUAGUUUAUUCGUAUACGAUU
rnacentral:misc_RNA from 1 species